AGCGGAGUAGAGCAGUGGCAGCUCGUUAGGUUCAUACCCUAAAGGUCGGGGGUUCAAGUCCCCCCUCCGCAACCA
rnacentral:tRNA from 2 species